GUGCUCACUUUGGCAGCAUAUAUACUGAAAUUGAAAUGGUACAGAGAAGGUUAGGUUGGCCUCUGCACAAGAAUGACAUGCAAAUUUGUGAAGCAUUCCAUAUUGGG
ensembl:snRNA U6 U6 spliceosomal RNA